GAAAAUCAUGGGUUUGCCUUAGUCCUGCUAAGUCUAAAGGCCUGCGGUUCAAGUCCGUAGGAUUUUCG
rnacentral:tRNA from 1 species